AUGUCACCGUGCCCCCACCCGGCAACCCUGCAGCUGCAUGGAGGCCCCUCCGGGCGCACUCAUGGCAAGCUCCUUUGAGCAUAGUGCCUGGACUAGCUUUUCUCUUCCAUCACAGGAAUGACUGUUCCCAAUUGGAAAUGUCACAGGUAAAUCUCACCAUCCUGUUGUCAGCACGUGUCAUCCAUCUGACGUCCUCCUGCCGUUAGUGGAGUAGCUGAAACGUUACUGCUACCUCUUAUAGGAAAGGAGACUGGACAAGCUGACAUAAAAAUAAACACAUAUACUUCCAUCAGGUAAAUGAA